GGCUGGUUAGCUCAGUCAGUUGAGCGUAGUGCUAGUAAUGCUAAGGUCGUGGGUUCAACUCCCAUUCGGUCU
rnacentral:tRNA from 1 species